rnacentral:tRNA from 1 species
CGCGGGGUGGAGCAGCACGGUCAGCUCGCCUGGUUCAUACCCAGGAGGUCGCAGGUUCAAAUCCUGCCCCCGCAA